UUAUGCGAUAACUGGUGUGAAUUGCAGAAUCCCGUGAACCAUCGAGUCUUUGAACGCAAGUUGCGCCCGAUGCCAUUAGGUUGAGGGCACGUCUGCCUGGGUGUCACAUAUCGAAGCCUCCUGCCAAUUUCCUUUUGACAGGUAUUGUGCAGGGUGGAUGUUGGCCUCCCGUGAGCUCUUCCGUCUCAUGGUUGGUUGAAAAUUGAGACCUUGGUAGGGUGUGCCAUGAUAAAUGGUGGUUGUGUGACCCACGAGACCAAUCAUGCGCUGCUCUAUUGAAUUUGGCCUCUUUUACCCAUAUGCGUGUUUCUAAACGCUCGUGAUGAGACCUCAGGUCAGGCGGGGCUACCCGCUGAAUUUAAGCAUAUCAAUAAGCGGAGGAAAAGAAACUAACAAGGAUUCCCUUAGUAACGGCGAGCGAACCGGGAUAAGCCCACCAUGAGAAUCGGUCGCCCUCGGCGUUCGAAUUGUAGUCUGGAAAAACCGUCAA
rnacentral:rRNA from 1 species